GGGGGCGUAGUGUAGCGGUUUAACAUGCCGGCCUGUCAAGCCGGAGAUCGCGGGUUCAAAUCCCGUCGCUCCCGCCA
rnacentral:tRNA from 1 species